AUAAAACUUUUUACUAUAUAGAUAAAGGCAGAUGUGGUGUGAGUGCCAAUGAGACAACUCUCCAUCCAAAUAACAAUUUAAAAAAAGUAAACCAUUAUAGGUUAAAGUACGGCCUUCAACACGGAGCCUUGGCUCACACCGAACAACAAGCUAUAAAGGGCCCCAAAAUUACUAGUAUAAAACCAUUCAAACGGGAAAACCAACGGUCUAAUCUAUAUAAACAAAACGAGAAACGAGAAACACGUAUAUAUUACAUAAACAAAC
rnacentral:lncRNA from 1 species